GACGAACGCUGGCGGCGUGCUUAACACAUGCAGGUCGAACGGAAAGGCCCUGCUUUUGUGGGGUGCUCGAGUGGCGAACGGGUGAGUAACACGUGAGUAACCUGCCCUUGACUUUGGGAUAACUUCAGGAAACUGGGGCUAAUACCGGAUAGGAGCUCCUGCUGCAUGGUGGGGGUUGGAAAGUUUCGGCGGUUGGGGAUGGACUCGCGGCUUAUCAGCUUGUUGGUGGGGUAGUGGGUUACCAAGGCUUUGACGGGUAGCCGGCCUGAGAGGGUGACCGGCCACAUUGGGACUGAGAUACGGCCCAGACUGCUACGAGAGGAAGCAGUGGGGAAGAUUGCACAAGGGGCGGAAGCCUGAUGCAGCAACGCCGCGGGCGGGAUGGCGGCCUUGGGGUUGUAAACCGCUUUCGCCUGUGACGAAGCGUGAGUGACGGUAAUGGGAAAAGAAGCACCGGCUAAAUACGUGC
rnacentral:rRNA from 1 species